rnacentral:rRNA from 1 species
GACGAACGCUGGCGGCGUGCUUAACACAUGCAAGUCGAGCGAGGCCCCUCCUUCGGGAGGGUGUCCUAGCGGCGAACGGGUGAGUAACACGUGGGCAACCUGCCCUCAGCUCUGGGAUAACUCCGGGAAACCGGGGCUAAUACCGGAUACGACCUCCACGGGCAUCUGCGGAGGUGGAAAGUUUUUCGGCUGAGGAUGGGCCCGCGGCCUAUCAGCUAGUUGGUGGGGUAGUGGCCCACCAAGGCGACGACGGGUAGCCGGCCUGAGAGGGCGACCGGUCACACUGGGACUGAGACACGGCCCAGACUCCUACGGGAGGCAGCAGUGGGGAAUAUUGCGCAAUGGGCGAAAGCCUGACGCAGCGACGCCGCGUGAGGGACGAAGGCCUUCGGGUUGUAAACCUCUUUCAGCAGGGACGAAGCGAAAGUGACGGUACCUGCAGAAGAAGCACCGGCCAACUACGUG